GCUGUCAUGGCCGAGUGGUUAAGGCGAUGGUCUAGAAAUACAUUGGGGUCCCCGCACAGGUUCAAAUCCUGUCGACUGCG
rfam:Ixodes scapularis strain Wikel colony gcontig_1107729075098, whole genome shotgun sequence.